GCCUGGGUGGCUCAGUUGGUUGAGCGUCCGAUUUCAGCUCAGGUCAUGGUCUUGCAGUUCGUGAGUUCGAGCCCCGCGUCAGGCU
rnacentral:tRNA from 1 species